CUGCUGCCUCCCGUAGGAGUUUGGGCCGUGUCUCAGUCCCAAUGUGGCCGUCCGCCCUCUCAGGCCGGCUACUGAUCGUCGCCUUGGUGGGCCGUUACCCCGCCAACCAGCUAAUCAGACGCGGGUCCAUCCCGUACCACCGGAGUUUUCAAGAAAGAAACAUGCGUCCCCUUCUGUUAUGCGGUAUUAGCACCUGUUUCCAGGUGUUAUCCCCCGGUACGGGGCAGGUUCCCCACGCGUUACUCACCCGUCCGCCACUAAGGCCCGCGCCUUCCGGGUCUGGUAAACCA
rnacentral:rRNA from 1 species